rnacentral:rRNA from 1 species
UACGGAGGGGGCAAGCGUUGUUCGGAAUACUGGGCGUAAAGGGCGCGCAGGCGGCUGCUCAAGUCAGGCGUGAAAGGCCUGGGCUCAACCCGGGAAUUGCGCUUGAGACUGGGCUGGCUUGAGUGCGGGAGAGGAUGGUGGAAUUCCCAGUGUAGAGGUGAAAUGCGUAGAUAUUGGGAGAACACCAGUGGCGAAGGCGGCUACCUGGACCGGAACUGACGCUGAUGCGCGAAAGCGGUGGGUAGCAAACGAGGA